rnacentral:rRNA from 1 species
AUUGAACGCUGGCGGCAGGCCUAACACAUGCAAGUCGAACGAGUGGCGGACGGGUGAGUAAUGUCUGGGAAACUGCCCGAUGGAGGGGGAUAACUACUGGAAACGGUAGCUAAUACCGCAUACCAUCGGAUGUGCCCAGAUGGGAUUAGCUAGUAGGUGGGGUAACGGCUCACCUAGGCGACGAUCCCUAGCGGGUCUGAGAGGAUGACCAUCCAAACGGGAACUGAGACACGGCCCAGACUCCUACGGUAGGCAGCAGGGGGGAAUAUUGCACAAUGGGUGCAAGUCUGAUGAAGCCAUGCCGAGUGUAGGAAGAAGGCCUGCGGGUUGUAAAGUACUUGCAGCGAGGAGGGUUGACUCGCAGAAGAUGCAUCGGCUAACUCCGUGCCAGAAGCCGCGUGAAUAC